rfam:Pan troglodytes isolate Yerkes chimp pedigree #C0471 (Clint) chromosome 2A, whole genome shotgun sequence.
UUUUUAGUGUAAGUAUAUCCCAUGCAAUAUUAGGGAUAUGCUUACACUACAA